ACCAAACCUGCUGCCAAGAGCCGGAACUUAAGUCCCCACCGCGCUGCAAGGCAAGAGGAAGAAGAGGACAACUGAGGGCUACAGAGGAAACCGAAGAAAAAGCAAAAACUACCUGCUCACCAGCGAGGUAAGAGAGUGCCCAGGGUUGUGGAUCUAUGGGGCAACUCUCUACAGCUGACCAAUCGCUGGCAUCCUUCACCCACGAGAAUAUUUGCUCUGUGAAAGCCACAACGGAUGUAGAUUUUCUUCUUCUAAGGAAGCCAGAGCCAUGCAAUUCUCCAGCUCAGCCAGAACAGCGGAUGAGAAUGUGGACUAUUUGUUCAAAGUCAUCCUUAUUGGGGACUCCAAUGUGGGGAAGACAUGUGUGGUUCAGCAUUUCAAGUCUGGAGUCUACAGUGAGUCACAGCAGAACACCAUUGGGGUGGACUUCACCGUGCGCUCCCUCGAGAUCGAUGGCAAGAAAGUGAAGAUGCAGGUGUGGGACACAGCAGGCCAGGAGCGCUUUCGUACCAUCACCCAAAGCUACUACCGGAGUGCCCAUGCAGCCAUCAUCGCCUAUGACCUCACACGGCGGUCCACAUUCGAAUCUGUCCCCCACUGGAUCCAUGAGAUAGAAAAAUAUGGAGCCGCCAACUUGGUCAUCAUGCUGAUCGGGAACAAAUCAGACCUGUGGGAGAAUCGGCAUGUCCUGUUUGAGGAUGCCUGCACACUGGCUGAGAAGUAUGGUCUCCUGGCUGUCCUGGAAACAUCCGCCAAGGAGUCCAGAAACAUAGAUGAAGUCUUUGUGCUCAUGGCGAAGGAGUUAAUUGCCCGCAAUAGCCUGCACCUGUACGGGGAGAGUGCCCAGCAAGGGCUUUCCCAGGAUUCCAGCCCAGUUCUUGUGGCCCAUGUCCCCAGUGAGAGCACCCGCUGUACUUGCUGAACAUGGGUGGGAGGCCAGCACAAAAGCCAGGGUAUGCAGACGCCAGUGUCUCCCAGUAGCAUUGCUGGCUGAGCCUUACCCCUAGCCUGAUGGGCAGCACAGACUCUUGAGGAAAGGGGACACCACUGUCCUUAAGAACUCAUAUUGAAAUGAAGACUUCAGGCCCUGGAGGAAGAGGGUUGGGAUGGAUUUUCCUCAUACUGGUCUCUGUCUCCCCCAAAUCCAGCUGUUUUAUAGUGGAGUUUGCUUCUCUGUUGUACAAAGACAGUAGUUAAGUGUGGGGAGCAGGAAGAUGCAGAGAGGAUAUUUGGAACAUUCUAGAUUUGGAAACAGCCCAGGCACGGUUGGGGAAGGCCUGUAAUGAAAAGCCAGCCUGCUUCCCAGCAGUCACAGCCAGGUCUUCUUCCUGAGGAGCAAGGCCUGCUGACCUAAAAGCCAGAAACACCUUCUUGCCAAAUGGUCAGGAACCAGGAGGCAGAUGCAACUGGCUUCCCCUGUCAAUGAUUGACCACAGGAUGGAAGAAAUGCCUACCAUGAAUUCCUAAAACAUCAAAUUAUCUUCUGUACAGAAGUCAAGUCCUGUGUUGAAAUUAAAUUGUCCUUACAUUACUAGGAAACCAGUGUUGUGUCUCCUCCCAUAAGAUGUGGUCAGAGAGCAGCUGAUGCCUUCUUGCAGUGGAGUAGCCCCCACUUUCAGAACUACAAAAGAUGGCAAUGUGGAUGGACCACUGCCGCAGUCUGCUGAAGGUCCGGUGUGAACGGUGGAUGACUAGUGCCAAACAUUCUGGACAAGAUCGUGACUUGGGGAUAUGAGGCAUGAGAUCGGGUGGCACGUCUCCUGUGUAGGAGAUGCUUCAUUUUCGGAACUGUCACUGCAGAGAUGGACGAUGCUUCUUACUUGAGAUCUGCUGGUCUCCCAAUGUAUAAACAAAGUAAUGUUAAGCAACUUGCUCAUUAAAUGACAGGAGGCUUUGGCUGCA